AAUAAUAUUAACACCAGAUAAACACUACACUCUGGAGACACAUAGUCCACUAUCUCUGAAACCAUGACUUUAAACUAUUCUCAUUUUAACUUUUAAAUCUACGAUCGAAGGGCUGCCAGUUCACCCUUAUCUUUUGAACCAAGUGUCUCCUUUACAUUGCGUGAAAUUUACGAUAAAGUAGAUACUUCACAGAGUUUUUCAUAAUGUACUACCGCCUUUAAGGUUUGUAGUAGAGAUGAGAAUAACAACUCUUUUUAGUGAGUCAACUCAGAGUGAAUGAGUCGUUAUUAGGAGUCAGCUCUUUCAACGACUCAUUUCGGAGUAAUAAAAACCCCACCCCGGUCAGUAGUUUCAUAAUUUGACUUCCUCCGAUCGGUCAUCAUGGAAUGCAAAAUAAACCUUAUUGAUUUAAGUUUAUCGACAGUGCGACUCUCUUUAGUUUUGGGGCCAAAAUUAACAUUCCGCUUGGGACCUCCGAGAAGCUUGAUCCGCCUCUGCUCCUAAUGCCUAUUUUUUACCUUUUUUUUGAGUAAUUUAGCAAAAUAUAAUAAAUUGAUUUUUUUAUGCCAUUUGGCUCAAAUAAGUUUCUUUUCACUCAAAUAAUUCUUUAAAUAAAGAAAGGAUGAAAAAAUCAUAAGGAAAUAAAAAAAAUCUAAAAAUUUGAAAAUUUCACUCAAAUAAUACUUUAAAUAAAAAAAAGAAUAAAAAAUGCUAUAAAUUUACCAAUCUUUUAAGCAGAGGCGGAUCCCGUUUCAUGUCCUUGCCGAUCAGACAAACUCGCUUGUACGCUUAUGUAGGUUUGAUAGUUAGGCAGAGCGAGUAGUAUAUUCAUUUGGCUAGUUUUGGGUAUGUACAAAUGUAUUACGUUUCAACUCUUCAAACGUUUCGUUUCCACUCAAAAUUUUCGAGUAGAAAUUUUUUUUGAAUUUUUUUUCUGAUUUUUUAUUAUUUUUUUAAUUUAAAGCAUUAUUUGAGUGAAACGAAACUUAUUGCAACAAAUUCGCAAUAAAAUAUAUCACAUUUAAACAUUUUGCUGAAUUGCAGAAUAAUGAGGAAAAUUUUACAUUUUCACAAACAGGGUAUGGAACCUGGUUCCUCGAAUAACUUCUGGCACAGACAUCUGAGGGCAUGGCCGUCCAAGAAGAAAAUGUAGCCAUUGGUGCCAUCUAUCGACCACAGGUUAAAGAUUGGCGAUCCGUUGGAUACCGACCGAGUUAUAGGCAAAACUUGGUGCAAAAAUGAGGAAAAUUUUACAUUUUCUCAAACAGAGUAAGGAACUUGGUUCCUCGAAUAACUUCUGGCACAGACAUCUGAGGGCAUGGCCGUCCAAGAAGAAAAUGUAGCCAUUGGUGCCAUCUAUCGACCACAGGUUAAAGAUUGGCGAUCCGUUGGAUACCGACCGAGUUAUAGGCAAAACUUGGUGCAAAAAUGAGGAAAAUUUUACAUUUUCUCAAACAGGGUAAGGAACUUGGUUCCUCGAAUAACUUCUGGCACAGACAUCUGAGGGCAUGGCCGUCCAAGAAGAAAAUGUAGUCAAUGGUGCCAUAUAUCGACCACAGGUUAAAGAUUGGCGAUCCGUUGGAUACCGACCGAGUUAUAGCCAAAAUUUGGUGCAAAAAUGAGCCUUAGUAAAUUUUCAUUUUUUUGAUUUUUUUUUAUUUUUUUACUAUUUUUCACUCUUUUUUUUAUUUAAAGCAUUACUUGAGUGAAAAGACACACAUUGCAACCAAUUGGCAUUAAAAUAAAUCAAUUUCAUUUUUUUUUGCAAAAUUUCCCAAAAAAACGUAAGGGGUAAGCCUUAUGAAAUUUUCGAGUGGAAAAUUUUUUUGAAAUUUUUUUCUGAUUUUUUAUUAUUUUUUUAAUUUAAAGCAUUAUUUGAGUGAAAAGAAACUUAUUGCAACAAAUUCACAAUAAAAUAUAUCACAUUUAAAAAUUUUGCUGAAUUGCAGUAAAAUGAGGAAAAUUUUACAUUUUCUCAAACAGGGUAAGGAACUUGCUUUCUCGAAUAACUUCUGGCACAGACAUCUGAGGGCAUGGCCGUCCAAGAAGAAAAUGUAGCCAUUGGUCCCAUCUAUCGACCACAGGUUAAAGAUUGGCGAUUCGUUGGAUACCGACCGAGUUAUAGGCAAAACUUGGUGCAAAAAUGAGGAAAAUUUUACAUUUUCUCAAACAGGGUAAGGAACUUGGUUCCUCGAAUAACUUCUGGCACAGACAUCUGAGGGCAUGGCCGUCCAGGAAGAAAAUGUAGCCAUUGGUGCCAUCUAUCGACCACAGGUUAAAGAUUGGCGAUCCGUUGGAUACCGACCGAGUUAUAGGCAAAACUUGGUGCAAAAAUGAGGAAAAUUUUACAUUUUCUCAAACAGGGUAAGGAACUUGGUUCCUCGAAUAACUUCUGGCACAGACAUCUGAGGGCAUGGCCGUCCAAGAAGAAAAUGUAGCCAUUGGUGCCAUCUAUCGACCACAGGUUAAAGAUUGGCGAUCCGUUGGAUACCGACCGAGUUAUAGCCAAAAUUUGGUGCAAAAAUGAGCCUUAGUAAAUUUUCAUUUUUUUGAUUUUUUUUUAUUUUUUUACUAUUUUUCACUCUUUUUUUUAUUUAAAGCAUUACUUGAGUGAAAAGACACACAUUGCAACCAAUUGGCAUUAAAAUAAAUCAAUUUCAUUUUUUUUGCAAAAUUUCCCAAAAAAAACGUAAGGGGUAAGCCUUAUGAAAUUUUCGAGUAGAAAAUUUUUUUGAAAUUUUUUUCUGAUUUUUUAUUAUUUUUUUAAUUUAAAGCAUUAUUUGAGUGAAAAGAAACUUAUUGCAACAAAUUCACAAUAAAAUAUAUCACAUUUAAAAAUGUUGCUGAAUUGCAGAAAAAUGAGGAAAAUUUUACAUUUUCUCAAACAGGGUAAGGAACUUGCUUUCUCGAAUAACUUCUGGCACAGACAUCUGAGGGCAUGGCCGUCCAGGAAGAAAAUGUAGCCAUUGGUGCCAUCUAUCGACCACAGGUUAAAGAUUGGCGAUUCGUUGGAUACCGACCGAGUUAUAGGCAAAACUUGGUGCAAAAAUGAGGAAAAUUUUACAUUUUCUCAAACAGGGUAAGGAACUUGGUUCCUCGAAUAACUUCUGGCACAGACAUCUGAGGGCAUGGCCGUCCAAGAAGAAAAUGUAGCCAUUGGUGCCAUCUAUCGACCACAGGUUAAAGAUUGGCGAUCCGUUGGAUACCGACCGAGUUAUAGGCAAAACUUGGUGCAAAAAUGAGGAAAAUUUUACAUUUUCUCAAACAGGGUAAGGAACUUGGUUCCUCGAAUAACUUCUGGCACAGACAUCUGAGGGCAUGGCCGUCCAAGAAGAAAAUGUAGCCAUUGGAGCCAUCUAUCGACCACAGGUUAAAGAUUGGCAAUCCGUUGGAUACCGACCGAGUUAUAGGCAAAACUUGGUGCAAAAAUGAGGAAAAUUUUACAUUUUCUCAAACAGGGUAAGGAACUUAGUUCCUCGAAUAACUUCUGGCACAGACAUCUGAGGGCAUGGCCGUCCAAGAAGAAAAUGUAGCCAUUGGUGCCAUCUAUCGACCACAGGUUAAAAAUUGGCGAUCCGUUGGAUACCGACCAAGUUAUAGCCAAAAUUUGGUGCAAAAAUGAGCCUUAGUAAAUUUUCAUUUUUUUGAUUUUUUUUUAUUUUUUUACUAUUUUUCACUCUUUUUUUUAUUUAAAGCAUUACUUGAGUGAAAAGACACACAUUGCAACCAAUUGGCAUUAAAAUAAAUCAAUUUCAUUUUUUUUGAAAAAUUUCCCAAAAAAAACGUAAGGGGUAAGCCUUAUGAAAUUUUCGAGUGGAAAAUUUUUUUGAAAUUUUUUUCUGAUUUUUUAUUAUUUUUUUAAUUUAAAGCAUUAUUUGAGUGAAAAGAAACUUAUUGCAUCAAAUUCACAAUAAAAUAUAUCACAUUUAAAAAUGUUGCUGAAUUGCAGAAAAAUGAGGAAAAUUUUACAUUUUCUCAAACAGGGUAAGGAACUUGCUUUCUCGAAUAACUUCUGGCACAGACAUCUGAGGGCAUGGCCGUCCAAGAAGAAAAUGUAGCCAUUGGUGCCAUCUAUCGACCACAGGUUAAAGAUUGGCGAUCCGUUGGAUACCGACCGAGUUAUAGCCAAAAUUUGGUGCAAAAAUGAGCCUUAGUAAAUUUGAAUUUUUUUUAUUUUUUUGAUUUUUUUAUUAUUUUUCACACUUUUUUUUAUUUAAAGCAUUACUUGAGUGAAAAGAAACACAUUGCAACCAAUUGGCAUUAAAAUAAAUCAAUUUCAUUUUUUUUGCAAAAUUUCUCAAAAAAAACGUAAGGGGUAAGCCUUAUGAAAUUUUGGAGUGGAAAAUUUUUUUGAAAUUUUUUUCUGAUUUUUUAUUAUUUUUUUAAUUUAAAGCAUUAUUUGAGUGAAAAGAAACUUAUUGCAACAAAUUCACAAUAAAAUAUAUCACAUUUAAAAAUGUUGCUGAAUUGCAGAAAAAUGAGGAAAAUUUUACAUUUUCUCAAACAGGGUAAGGAACUUGCUUUCUCGAAUAACUUCUGGCACAGACAUCUGAGGGCAUGGCCGUCCAGGAAGAAAAUGUAGCCAUUGGUGCCAUCUAUCGACCACAGGUUAAAGAUUGGCGAUCCGUUGGAUACCGACCGAGUUAUAGGCAAAACUUGGUGCAAAAAUGAGGAAAAUUUUACAUUUUCUCAAACAGGGUAAGGAACUUGGUUCCUCGAAUAACUUCUGGCACUGACAUCUGAGGGCAUGGCCGUCCAAGAAGAAAAUGUAGCCAUUGGUGCCAUCUAUCGACCACAGGUUAAAGAUUGGCGAUCCGUUGGAUACCGACCAAGUUAUAGCCAAAACUUGGUGCAAAAAUGAGCCUUAGUAAAUUUUCAUUUUUUUUAUUUUUUUUUAUUUUUUUACUAUUUUUCACUCUUUUUUUUAUUUAAAGCAUUACUUGAGUGAAAAGACACACAUUGCAACCAAUUGGCAUUAAAAUAAAUCAAUUUCAUUUUUUUUGCAAAAUUUCCCAAAAAAAACGUAAGGGGUAAGCCUUAUGAAAUUUUCGAGUGGAAAAUUUUUUUGAAUUUUUUUUCUGAUUUUUUAUUAUUUUUUUAAUUUAAAGCAUUAUUUGAGUGAAAAGAAACUUAUUGCAACAAAUUCACAAUAAAAUAUAUCACAUUUAAAAAUGUUGCUGAAUUGCAGAAAAAUGAGGAAAAUUUUACAUUUUCUCAAACAGGGUAAGGAACUUGCUUUCUCGAAUAACUUCUGGCACAGACAUCUGAGGGCAAGGCCGUCCAAGAAGAAAAUGUAGCCAUUGGUGCCAUCUAUCGACCACAGGUUAAAGAUUGGCGAUCCGUUGGAUACCGACCGAGUUAUAGGCAAAACUUGGUGCAAAAAUGAGGAAAAUUUUACAUUUUCUCAAACAGGGUAAGGAACUUGGUUCCUCGAAUAACUUCUGGCACAGACAUCUGAGGGCAUGGCCGUCCAAGAAGAAAAUGUAGCCAUUGGUGCCAUCUAUCGACCACAGGUUAAAGAUUGGCGAUCCGUUGGAUACCGACCGAGUUAUAGGCAAAACUUGGUGCAAAAAUGAGGAAAAUUUUACAUUUUCUCAAACAGGGUAAGGAACUUGGUUCCUCGAAUAACUUCUGGCACAGACAUCUGAGGACAUGGCCGUCCAAGAAGAAAAUGUAGCCAUUGGUGCCAUCUAUCGACCACAGGUUAAAGAUUGGCGAUCCGUUGGAUACCGACCGAGUUAUAGGCAAAACUUGGUGCAAAAAUGAGGAAAAUUUUACAUUUUCUCAAACAGGGUAAGGAACUUGCUUUCUCGAAUAACUUCUGGCACAGACAUCUGAGGGCAUGGCCGUCCAAGAAGAAAAUGUAGCCAUUGGUGCCAUCUAUCGACCACAGGUUAAAGAUUGGCGAUCCGUUGGAUACCGACCGAGUUAUAGGCAAAACUUGGUGCAAAAAUGAGGAAAAUUUUACAUUUUCUCAAACAGGGUAAGGAACUUGGUUCCUCGAAUAACUUCUGGCACAGACAUCUGAGGGCAUGGCCGUCCAAGAAGAAAAUGUAGCCAUUGGUGCCAUCUAUCGACCACAGGUUAAAGAUUGGCGAUCCGUUGGAUACCGACCGAGUUAUAGGCAAAACUUGGUGCAAAAAUGAGGAAAAUUUUACAUUUUCUCAAACAGGGUAAGGAACUUGGUUCCUCGAAUAACUUCUGGCACAGACAUCUGAGGGCAUGGCCGUCCAAGAAGAAAAUGUAGCCAUUGGUGCCAUCUAUCGACCACAGGUUAAAGAUUGGCGAUCCGUUGGAUACCGACCGAGUUAUAGGCAAAACUUGGUGCAAAAAUGAGCCUUAGUAAAUUUUCAUUUUUUUGAUUUUUUUUAUUUUUACUAUUUUUCACUCUUUUUUUUAUUUAAAGCAUUACUUGAGUGAAAAGACACACAUUGCAACCAAUUGGCAUUAAAAUAAAUCAAUUUCAUUUUUUUUGCAAAAUUUCCCAAAAAAAACGUAAAGGGUAAGCCUUAUGAAAUUUUCGAGUGGAAAAUUUUUUUGAAAUUUUUUUCUGAUUUUUUAUUAUUUUUUUAAUUUAAAGCAUUAUUUGAGUGAAAAGAAACUUAUUGCAACAAAUUCACAAUAAAAUAUAUCACAUUUAAAAAUGUUGCUGAAUUGCAGAAAAAUGAGGAAAAUUUUACAUUUUCUCAAACAGGGUAAGGAACUUGCUUUCUCGAAUAACUUCUGGCACAGACAUCUGAGGGCAUGGCCGUCCAAGAAGAAAAUGUAGCCAUUCAUGCCAUCUAUCGACCACAGGUUAAAGAUUGGCGAUCCGUUGGAUACCGACCGAGUUAUAGCCAAAAUUUGGUGCAAAAAUGAGCCUUUGUAAAUUUGCAUUUUUUUUAUUUUUUUGAUUUUUUUAUUAUUUCUCACACUUUUUUUUAUUUAAAGCAUUACUUGAGUGAAAAGAAACACAUUGCAACCAAUUGGCAUUAAAAUAAAUCAAUUUCAUUUUUUUUGCAAAAUUUCUCAAAAAAAACGUAAGGGGUAAGCCUUAUGAAAUUUUCGAGUGGAAAAUUUUUUUGAAAUUUUUUUCUGAUUUUUUAUUAUUUUUUUAAUUUAAAGCAUUAUUUGAGUGAAAAGAAACUUAUUGCAACAAAUUCACAAUAAAAUAUAUCACAUUUAAAAAUUUUGCUGAAUUGCAGAAAAAUGAGGAAAAUUUUACAUUUUCUCAAACAGGGUAAGGAACUUGCUUUCUCGAAUAACUUCUGGCACAGACAUCUGAGGGCAUGGCCGUCCAAGAAGAAAAUGUAGCCAUUGGUGCCAUCUAUCGACCACAGGUUAAAGAUUGGCGAUCCGUUGGAUACCGACCGAGUUAUAGGCAAAACUUGGUGCAAAAAUGAGGAAAAUUUUACAUUUUCUCAAACAGGGUAAGGAACUUGGUUCCUCGAAUAACUUCUGGCACAGACAUCUGAGGGCAUGGCCGUCCAAGAAGAAAAUGUAGCCAUUGGUGCCAUCUAUCGACCACAGGUUAAAGAUUGGCGAUCCGUUGGAUACCGACCGAGUUAUAGGCAAAAUUUGGUGCAAAAAUGAGCCUUAGUAAAUUUGCAUUUUUUUUAUUUUUUUUUAAUUUUUUACUAUUUUUCACUCUUUUUUUUAUUUAAAGCAUUACUUGAGUGAAAAGACACACAUUGCAACCAAUUGGCAUUAAAAUAAAUCAAUUUCAUUUUUUUUUGCAAAAUUUCCCAAAAAAAACGUAAGGGGUAAGCCUUAUGAAAUUUUCGAGUGGAAAAUUUUUUUGAAAUUUUUUUCUGAUUUUUUAUUAUUUUUUUUAAUUUAAAGCAUUAUUUGAGUGAAAAGAAACUUAUUGCAACAAAUUCACAAUAAAAUAUAUCACAUUUAAAAAUGUUGCUGAAUUGCAGAAAAAUGAGGAAAAUUUUACAUUUUCUCAAACAGGGUAAGGAACUUGCUUUCUCGAAUAACUUCUGGCACAGACAUCUGAGGGCAUGGCCGUCCAAGAAGAAAAUGUAGCCAUUCAUGCCAUCUAUCGACCACAGGUUAAAGAUUGGUGAUCCGUUGGAUACCGACCGAGUUAUAGCCAAAACUUGGCGUAAAAUGAGCCUUAUGAAAUUUUCAAGUUUUUGGAUUUUUUUUUAAUUUUCUUAAAUUUUUAUUCUUUUUUUAUUUAAAACAUUAUUUGAGUGAAAAGAAACUUAUUUCAUUCGAUUGGCAUUAAAAUAAAUCAAUUUUAUUUUUUUUUGCAAAAUUUCUCAAAAAAUGGCAAGGGGUAAGCCUUAUGAAAUUUUCGAGUGGAAAAUUUUUCUGAAAUUUUUUUCUGAUUUUUUAUUCUUUUUUUAAUUUAAAGCAUUAUUUGAGUGAAAAGAAACUUAUUGCAACAAAUUCGCAAUAAAAUAUAUCACAUUUAAAAAUUUUGCUGAAUUGCUCAAAAAUGACGAAAAUUUUACAUUUUCUCAAACAGGGUAAGGAACUUGGUUCCUCGCAUAACUUCCGGCACAUACAUCUGAGGGCAUGGCCGUCAAGGAAGAAAAUGUAGCCAUUGGUGCCAUCUAUCGACCACAUGUUAAAGAUUGGCGAUCCGUUGGAUACCGACCGAGUUAUAGCCAAAACUUGGUGCAAAAAUGAGGAAAAUUUUACAUUUUCUCAAACAGGGUAAGGAACUGUUUUUAAUUUUUUUAUAAUUUUGUAGUCUGUUUUUAAUUUAAAGCAAUAUUUGUUUGAAAACAAACUUUUUAGAACCAAUUUUUCAUUAAAAUAAUUCAAUAUAAUUUUUUUUGCAAAAUUUCUCAAAAAAACGUAAGAGUUAACGUAUUGGGUUGCUAAACUCUUUUAUUUUAUUAGUAAUGUACUCUUACAUUCGAUUACCGGUGGUCUCUUGUCUUUAAUAAAUGUAUUUAAAAGGUCUUUGGUAAAUAAAAUGUGUCUAAUAAGAGAUCAAGAUUAAUUCCUGAACACUGAACUGAACUUUGAGGACAACACCAUGCUGAUGAACAAAUAUAUACUUCUUGGAUCAUCUUCCAAAACGGAUCAUUUCUAAACCCCAUAGCAGCCGCAAAAAAGAUGUUAUUCUUAGAUAAUAAUUGAAUACGCUAUGAGAGAAGAAAGAAGAAACCCAGAGAGAAGUUUGAAGUACAGCUACGCUUUGUUAUUUUGAUGAGCCAGGAUAAGGAUAUAUUAUUGAUUAAAGGGCAUAAACUUAAUCAAACUUUGAAAAGUUUUUGUGGUUGUUUACAACUACUAACAACAUAAAAGUUAUACAUUCUAAUAACUCAUUGUUUAGCCAUUCAUUGAAACUGCUUUGUAAUCUUGCCGGAUCUAUGUUGUACGGUUAUCGGCUAUGGUGUUAACCCUACCUCCUUAACUAAACAAAACCACACUAACCAGAUUGAUGUCAUAAAGAAAGAAAAGAGUAAGUGCGCAAUUUGUUCCCCUUCAAAAUAAAUUUAACUUAACACCGCAAGUUUCAAGUUUACACAGCACAAAUGAAAACGGGAAAUAAAACAUAUCAACUGCCUGAUGCACUUAUCUGUCCUGUUGGCAACAGUUUCUUAGAUUUGGACUAUAACCUGAACAGAUUAUCGCUUACCGUGGGAUGACAGCAGCUUGUAUAGGGAGAUAAAAACAGGUUUAGGGCUUUUUUUUGUUUUAAGUAAACGCCCCAAAAACAAAACCACAACUUCAUCGCGUGAAUUUUAAUCCUUAAAAGAAGAGAGUAAACAAAUCCGGAACAUGGCUUCCAUAUAAUGACGUCAAAUACUCAAAAAUAAUAACAUCUGUGGAGUGAUAGGUCGCCUUAAAAUUGUCCCAAAAAAACUCAACAAGUUUGCGAAAACCGUAACGAUAAGAUUUGACGACCUUACGAUCUGCUAACGAUAAAAGAUAAACCGACCAAAUUGGCAGAUUAGUACACGUUGGUUAGUAUUGACAGAUAGAAGUCAUAAACGAAACCUGUAUAAACGAGCUCAUACGUUAUUAAUUGACACUUCGUUUAGUACCGGCAACAGUACCUUUAUCGUAUGGCUCGGUCUGGGUUAUAAACGUGCAUAGCUGUAUAAGUAAAAGCAUCAAGAUAUUAAAUUUACAACGAUUGUAAAGUGUCUACACGUCACUCGUAUUGGGAAAUUAUGUCAAUGACACCUGGGAGAGGAAGUGCGCCAUUGUCAGCCAUUUAUAUCUGUGCUGAAUUCUUGUAUUGUUGCAAUUGUUCAAUGUUCCAGAAACGAUAUGCUUACAAGUUGUGGAAUAUCUUUUGUUUGUAGUAUUUUAGGAAGAAAUCAUGGUAAUUAUGUUAACUGCCUUCUAAGCUAUAAAUUUCUGUUGGUGUAGUACACAAACAUACACCUUUCUCAUGAUUACUAUCAAAAUACGUUACAUAAAUACUAGUAACAUAUUUAACAAUGAUUUUCCAAUUCUAUAUAGAUCGAAAAGAUAAAUUAAUCGAGAUAACACAAUUCGACUCUUCUAUGACAGUUAAUUGAUUUAUAAUAAAUAUAAUAGUUUUAAACGAUGCUAUGUUUAACUACUUCUGAAUAUACAGAAAAAGCGUACAAAUUAUAAAUAAUUCUGAGAAAUCGUAAUGCUGUUCAACGGUUUCCAGCUAAAACCAGCUCACCCGGGAAGGUAUUCACCGUGACAGUGAUAACGUCAUUUGGAAAUGCUUCACCGAGCAGAUAAUUUCCGUUGAAAUUAUAAACAGCUU